rnacentral:rRNA from 1 species
AUACGGAGGGUGCAAGCGUUACUCGGAAUCACUGGGCGUAAAGCGCGCGCAGGCGGCCAUUUAAGUUGGAUGUGAAAGCCUACGGCUCAACCGUAGAACUGCAUCCGAAACUAUUUGGCUAGAGUGUGGGAGAGGAAGAUGGAAUUAGUUGUGUAGGGGUAAAAUCCGUAGAGAUAACUAGGAAUACCAAAAGCGAAGGCAAUCUUCUGGAACAUUACUGACGCUGAGGCGCGAAAGCGUGGGGAGCAAACAGGAUUAGAUACCCCAGUAGUCC